UCUACCCGAGAUGACCUCCUUUUGACGGAUUUCGGAGUACGCUUUCCCUUCAAUAUAGCAUCACCCGAAAAUGAAGCUACCACAAUGCAAAGCAGUCGGAGUGCGCACACCGCCUGAGUGGCAGAUAUAUUUUGGAAGGAACCGCUAAUGGGAUUUACGUUCACUCCAAGGAAUUUGGAAUAUCUUCCCUACUCGAUAUGGGCAAAGCCCGCAUGUAAGACACUUACGCGCCAAUCACAGUAGAUUUACCCACCUGAUGCUGAAAAACAGGUACUGCUAAAUACCACAAGAAAGAUGUACUUCAACUCCAUUUGUGGCAGCAAAUUUCUAGAAGAAGAAGAAGACACGUGAAGAUCGCUGAAGAAAAACACUUGAUACAAAGGGAAUAUGAUACAGUUCUCCUAAAAAUUACCUUUUUAGUCUGUAACUCGAACUAUUGGUAAUUUGAAGCUAAGGAGAUGACGUUAGUUUGAAGCUGAACGAAUUUAAUAUUACAAGAAAUGAUUCCGCUAUGCUAAACGGAGCCACAAGCUAGUCGCAGUUGUUGUAUUACAAAAGUUCCCAAUGGGGUGAUGGCUUUACGGCUAACGGUUAAAAUUUUGCCGGCCAACUUUUUUUUUUUUUUUACAAAGUAUCAAGUAAUUCUGUUAGUUAGUUAGUUUAAUAUGAUUUUUCCACUGUAAUGAGUUUUCCAGUUAUGACUGCCUCGUCUAACUUCUUAGUGGAAGUGUUUAGUUUGUCUACUGACCUUCCUUUGGACCCACUCGAAAUUUCUUGUUUUGGCUAACGCAGUCACAGGUUGAUACAGUUGAUCUGAAGAAUUAGUUUCUCUGUUGAUCAUUCGAAAGUCUCGUGAAAUUUGUUGUUCUAACAACAAAUGCCAUUUGCUGUUUAAUUUCCAAAGGUCAACCACCUAGCCACCCAUCCAAAUCCAUCAAUAGCAAACAUUUAAGCAUGUGUUUUAGAGCUUAAUGCUUUCGAAAAUUCUAGUUGAAUAUAUCGCUACCUAAGCGAGGUCUAUUGCAAAGUUCAAAUGACACGCGUCCUGCAUACUGCUAGGAUCAGCAAUGUCGAUAGCGUGAUAUUUUUGGAUAUAAAUAGAAGUGAUCCUAACAGUAUGCAGUAUGCAGUAUGCAGGACACGUGUCAUUUGAACUUUUUAAUAGACCUCGCUCACCGAAGAGUCUUUGUGGCUCAGUGGUGGAGCAAUCCGAAGGUCUGAGGUUCGAUUCCUCAUAGGGACUCAGAAUUUUUCUUUGUCCCACGCUCGUGACAAGACAAGGAAACAUCUUUCUUAAGACGUGCUUAGUUUGUCUACUGACCUUACUUUGGACCCACACGAAAGUUCGUGUUUUGAGUUAUGCAAUGUUCAUGCAUUUUGGGUUAGUGUUCAAACCACAAAAGGUUUAGUUUCCUAACGUCAGCCAGCUGGCAUGCUCACACAUAUCUAUCAAUAGUAAAUAUAUAUAAGCAUUGUGUACUUCAGAACUUA